CCUACGGGCGGCUGCAGUAAGGAAUAUUGGACAAUGCCCGCAAGGGUGAUCCAGCCAUGCCGCGUGCAGGAAGAAGGCGCUAUGCGUCGUAAACUGCUUUUACACCAGAGAAAACCCCUGUACGUGUACGGGGCUGAUAGUAUGGUGAGAAUAAGCAUCGGCUAACUUCGUGCCAGCAGCCGCGGUAAGACGAAGGAUGCAAGCGUUAUCCGGAUUCAUUGGGUUUAAAGGGAGCGUAGGCGGCCUUAUAAGUCAGUGGUGAAAUCUCUCGGCUC
rnacentral:rRNA from 1 species